CACGGGGGGACUCCUACGGGAGGCAGCAGUGGGGAAUAUUGCACAAUGGGCGAAAGCCUGAUGCAGCAACGCCGCGUGAGCGAUGAAGGCCUUCGGGUCGUAAAGCUCUGUCCUCAAGGAAGAUAAUGACGGUACUGAGGAGGAAGCCCCG
rnacentral:rRNA from 1 species